AUGGCCAUACCAUGCUGAAUAUACCGGUUCUUGUUAGAUCACCGAAGUCAAGCAUCAUUGGGCGUGGUCAGUACUUGGGUGGGUGACCACCUGGGAACACCGUGUGCCGUU